rnacentral:rRNA from 1 species
AACGAACGCUGGCGGCAUGCCUAACACAUGCAAGUCGAACGAGACCUUCGGGUCUAGUGGCGCACGGGUGCGUAACGCGUGGGAACCUGCCCUUAGGUUCGGAAUAACUCCCCGAAAGGGGUGCUAAUACCGGAUAAUGUCUUCGGACCAAAGAUUUAUCGCCUUUGGAUGGGCCCGCGUUGGAUUAGCUAGUUGGUAGGGUAAAAGCCUACCAAGGCGACGAUCCAUAGCUGGUCUGAGAGGAUGAUCAGCCACACUGGGACUGAGACACGGCCCAGACUCCUACGGGGGGCCGCGGGGGGGAAUAUUGGACAAGGGGCGAAAGCCUGAUCCAGCAAGGCCGGGGGGGUGAUGAAGGCCUUGGGGUUGUAAAGCUUUUUUACCCGGGAUGAUAAAGACAGUACCGGGAGAAUAAGCCCCGGCUAACUCCGU